UUCCGGUUGAUCCCGCCGGACCUGACUGCUAUCGGAUUGAUACUAAGCCAUGCGAGUCAUUGUAGCAAUACAAGGCAUACGGCUCAGUAACGCGUAGUCAACCUAACCUAUGGACGGGAAUAACCUCGGGAAACUGAGAAUAAUGCCCGAUAGAACACUAUACCUGGAAUGGUUUGUGUUCCAAAUGAUUUAUCGCCGUAGGAUGGGACUGCGGCCUAUCAGUUUGUUGGUGAGGUAAUGGCCCACCAAGACUAUUACAGGUACGGGCUCUGAGAGGAGUAGCCCGGAGAUGGGUACUGAGACACGGACCCAGGCCCUAUGGGGCGCAGCAGGCGAGAAAACUUUGCAAUGUGCGAAAGCACGACAAGGUUAAUCCGAGUGAUUUGUGCUAAACGAAUCUUUUGUUAGUCCUAGAACCACUAACGAAUAAGGGGUGGGCAAGUUCUGGUGUCAGCCGCCGCGGUAAAACCAGCACCUCAAGUGGUCAGGAUGAUUAUUGGGCCUAAAGCAUCCGUAGCCGGCUCUGUAAGUUUUCGGUUAAAUCUGUACGCUUAACGUACGGGCUGCCGGGAAUACUGCAGAGCUAGGGAGUGGGAGAGGUAGACGGUACUCGGUAGGAAGGGGUAAAAUCCUUUGAUCUAUUGAUGACCACCUGUGGCGAAGGCGGUCUACCAGAACACGUCCGACGGUGAGGGAUGAAAGCUGGGGGAGCAAACCGGAUUAGAUACCCGGGUAGUCCCAGCUGUAAACUAUGCAAACUCAGUGAUGCAUUGACUUAUGGUCAAUGCAGUGCUGCAGGGAAGCCGUUAAGUUUGCCGCCUGGGAAGUACGUACGCAAGUAUGAAACUUAAAGGAAUUGGCGGGGGAGCACCACAAGGGGUGAAGCCUGCGGUUCAAUUGGAUCAACGCCGG
rnacentral:rRNA from 1 species